UAAUCCACAUGACUCCAGUCCAUCAAUUAAUGUCUUAUAAAGCAAAAAGCUGUUUGUUUGUAUGAAACAAUCC